rnacentral:lncRNA from 1 species
UUUCAGGCAACUUAACAACAAAUGAUUAGCACAGACAAAAGAAUUGAAGGAAGGAAGAAGCCGAAUCCUUGGUGGUGAGUGCAGAAGAGGAAUUUGCUCUUGGCAGGGCCCUCGUGAUAGAGGAGAAGCUGAGUCAGGGAUUCACGGAACAGAGCAAUAAACAGAUGGCCGCGCUGAGAGCAGUAAUGACUGGACUUUCCAAUGGCAUCAAAAAGAAGGAGACCUCACCUCUUAUUUUGCAAUUUUUGAAUAGAACAAAAAAAAACUAUUUGAUGUGAACUUUUUGGAAUACUUGGCUGCUCCCUCAGUCAACAAGAAGUACAACCACCCUCAAGUUCAUUCCUCCUAGCCAAUGAAAGAGAAAUACUUCUCUGGACCUGAGAAAAAAGAUGGAUUAAAGGGACACAUUUACGCAUUAUUAAAAGAUGGGUCCACAUGAAACCAUCAUUGGGAUGACAUUCAAUAAGGAAGAAAAAAGAAUAAUGAUACAAUCCUAAGGAAUAUCAAUAUUCAUGAAGUUGGGAAGAGAAAUCAGGUAACACAAAGAAAGUGCAAAUCAGAGGAGCAGAUGGACAAAGUAAAGACAAGCAUCAAGAAAGCCAUGGAUGAAGAGUUUUAAGAGGGAAGUGCCCUUUGGAAAGGUGAAGUACAAUAAUACAUAACAAGCUCACUAGAUGUGGCAAUUAGGAUACCAGUGUGGCCUUUGAGGGGACAAUUUCAAUGGAGUAGUGAAAACAGAAGAACAGAGAAGCUCCCUUACACCACUUACAUGGGCUACUGAGAGAAUGGGAAGUUAGCAAAUGGAGACAUUAAUUUUCUAUUUCAUUUUCAAAAACCUUGGAUGACACAGAGGGAGGGGGAGGGAACAAUUUGAGUAGGAAUAAUGUUAAGGGAGGUCCUUGUCUCAAUCUUUUCCUGCUGCUAUAACAGAAGGCCUUGGACUGGGUAAUUUACAAACAACAGAAAUUUAUUUCUUACAGUUCUGGAGGCUGGGAGGUCCAAGAUUAAAGCAACAGAAAAUCUGAUGUCUGGUGAAAACGCCCUCUCUGCUUCCAAGAUGGCGCCUUGUUGCUGUGUCCUCACAGGGCAGAAAAGAUGGAAGAGCAAAAGGGACCAAUGCUCUGUGAAGCCUCUUUUAUAUGGGCAUGAAUCUCAUUCACGAAGGUGGAGCCCUCAUGACCUAAUCACCUUCUAAAAGCCCCAUUGCUAUCUUUUUUUAAAAUUAAUUAAUUAAUUUUUUAUAUCUGUAGGUUAUUGGGGAACAGGUGGUGUAUGGUUACAUGGGUAAGUGCUUUAGUGGUGAUUUGUGAGAUUUGGGUGCACCCAUGACCCAAGCAGUAUACACUGCACCCCAUUUGUAGUCUUUUAUCCCUCCCCUCCUUCCCACCCUUUCUCCCUGAGUCAAGGCCCCACCUCUCAAUACUAUCACACUGGUGAUGAAAUUUCAACAUGUGAAUUUUGGAAGAACACAUUUAGACCACAGCAUCCCUUUAGGAUAGUGGAGAUUUGAACACACUUAUAAACCCCAGGCAAUCUUAGAAACUGGAAAGAAGUAAUCUUACAAAAAAUAAAACAAAGUGUUAGUUUAUACAGAUGUAAUUAAUAAAUAGAGUCCUCCUAAAUGGAUAUUCAUUAAAGAAUCAUUUAAAUAAAUUGAAGUGCUACCAUUUUGCAGGAUUUUUCUUUGGUCAAUGAAUAUGACCAAAUAUUAUAAAAAUAUUUUCUGAGCAUUAGCGGGCUUUGUGUAUUCAAAGUAUUAAUGGGAUGCAACAUCAUGAAAUGUAAGACAAGUUGGCAAGUGUUGAUGUAGUGGGAAGGGUCAUGAAAUUGGAAUCUGGAGACCCAUAUCUGUCACCGACCAAUCAUUUAAGCUCUUCAGAUCCCUAGUCUUCCAUUUCAAGUUGAGGAGAGGAGGUUGGCCAAGAUGGUCUAGUCUUCCCUAGGUAAUUUUUGGGUUUUUUUGUAAUUUUUAUUUUAAGUUCUGGGGUACAUGUGCAAGAUGUACCCCAGAUGUGCAGGUUUGUUACAUAGGUAAACAUGUGCCAUGCUGGUUUGCUGCACCUGUCAACCCAUCAAUCCCUAGGUAUUUUGUAAGGGCUCCUUUCAACUCCAGUAAAUUUGGUUGUUUCUCAAGCUAGAUUUAUCUCAUUCCAAGGUCUAUGGACAUAUUCUCCUGGGUCUUUGAGUUCACAAUGAAAAAUCCUGAAUUUUAUAUUUUCAUUUUAAUAAUAAAGGACUAAAUUUUUGAUAAUAUGAAAGACAAACCCAUGUCUGCUGAUUUCAGCACCUGCAUUUAUUUUUGUAUUUACAAAUGUAUUAAAUACAUGUAGUUUGGCUUUUUGAUAUCCUAAAAGGAUUUCAAGUAAAAUUUAGUAAGUUGGAAAGCUUCUCUAGUUACCUGUGAUUGUUUGUUCUAUUUUCUUUUUCUUUUUUUUUUUUUGAGACAGAGUCUCGCCCUGUCACCCAGGCUGGAAUGCAGUGGUGUGAUCUCGUCUCACUGCAACCUCUGCCUCCUGGGCUCAAGCGAUUCUUCUACCUCAGCCUCCCAAGUAGCUGGGACUGCAGGUGCGUGCCACCAUGCUGGGCUAAUUUUUGUGUUUUUAGUAAAGACAGGGUUUCACCAUGUUGGCCAGGCUGGUCUUGAACUCCUGACCUCAGGUGAUCCGCCUGGCUUGGUCACCCAAAGUGCUGGGAUUACAGACGUAAGCCACCUGCCCAGGCUAGUUUGUUCUAUUUUCAAACUGAUAACCUACAUUCUGGAUCUACCAAUAAAUUUAUGUUGAAUUAUUUCAUCUCAUUAAUGACAAAACUUUAAUUUUACAUCAAUAAUUUUCAACUAAAAGGUGUUUCCAUAAGUUAAGAUUUUCAUUUAUUUCUUUUCUUUUUUUGAGAUGGAGUCUCGCUCUGUCACCCCAGCUGGAGUGCUGUGGUGUGACCUGGGCUCACUGCAAUCUUUGCCUCUCAGGUUCAAGCGAUUCUCCCACCUUAGCCUCCCGAGUAGCUGGGAUUACAGACAUCUGCCACCAUGCCUGGCUCAUUUUUUCUUGUGUUUUUAGUAGAGGCAGGGUUUCACCAUGUUGGCCAGGCUGGUCUUGAACUCCUGGCCUCAAGCGAUCCACUUGCCUUGACCCCCCAGAGUGCUGGGAUUACAGGCACAAGCCACCACACCUGGCCAGGUAAGACUUUCAUUUCUUUCUUUCUUUCUUUUUUUUUUUUUUUUUUUGAGAUAGAGUUUCACUCUCGCUGCCCAGGUUGGAGUGCAAUGGCACAAUCUCAGCUCACCACAACUUCCACCUCCCGGGUUCAAGCGAUUCUCCUGCCUCAGCCUCCCAAGUAGCUGAGAUUACAGGCAUGCACCACCACGCCCAGCUAAUUUUUUUGUAUUUUUAGUAGAGAUGGGGUUUCUCCAUGUUUGUCAGGCUGGUCUCAAACUCCCAACCUCAGGUGAUCUUCCCACCUUGGUCUCCCAAAGAAGACUUUCAUUUCUUAAGUGAUUUAACAUAUUGAUACUUUGACGUGACACCAUGGAAAUAACAUAUGGCAUCAGUCUUCUAGCCUCAAGGGCUAGAAGAAGAUGCUCAGAUCAACCCAAGGUCAAAAGACAUUUUAUUGCUCUGAAGAAACAAAAUCUUUGCAGAAAUUUGAAUGAAAAAAUGCGGUGGCAAAAUGGAGUUUUUACAUUACAAACAAUACUACAGGUGCAUGGAACUGAAAAGAACCUUUGCCAUUAACAUCAGUACCCUUUUCACAUCAAGCGAGAGGUUUCCAUUUUAAUGAAACAACCUGGCUGGGCGCAGUGGCUUAUGCCUGUAAUCAAAGCACUCUGGGAGGCCAAGGCGGAAGUAUCGCUUGAGACCAGGAGUUCAAGACCAGCUUACAUUAAAUUACUUUAUUUGAUUAUUAUUAUUAUUUUGGUUUGUGGUUUGUACUUAAUUUAUAAUUUUAUUUUUAUUUGAUAGUUGUAUAAAAACUAUAGAUAUAAGUAAGGGGUUUGUACAUGGAUUUAUGCUUAUAGAUAUUUAAGUAACAUUUUGAUUAAAUAAUUUAGGUUACCAUGUGUACCUUAUUAAUUUUUUAAGACAUACAUAUGUAAGCCUUGAGAAUCUGGUUUGGAUUAUACAGCUCUAUCUAUUUCUCUAAAUUCUCCUAAGCUAAGAGUGGGGAAGCAGACAGUAUUUGUGGCUGGGGGAUGCUGAUGGCACACAGAAAAGCCUAAAAAUUAUGG